rnacentral:rRNA from 1 species
AUUGAACGCUGGUGGCAGGCCUAACACAUGCAAGUCGAGCGGAUGAAGGGAGCUUGCUCCUGGAUUCAGCGGCGGACGGGUGAGUAAUGCCUAGGAAUCUGCCUGGUAGUGGGGGAUAACGUCCGGAAACGGGCGCUAAUACCGCAUACGUCCUGAGGGAGAAAGUGGGGGAUCUUCGGACCUCACGCUAUCAGAUGAGCCUAGGUCGGAUUAGCUAGUUGGUGGGGUAAAGGCCUACCAAGGCGACGAUCCGUAACUGGUCUGAGAGGAUGAUCAGUCACACUGGAACUGAGACACGGUCCAGACUCCUACGGGAGGCAGCAGUGGGGAAUAUUGGACAAUGGGCGAAAGCCUGAUCCAGCCAUGCCGCGUGUGUGAAGAAGGUCUUCGGAUUGUAAAGCACUUUAAGUUGGGAGGAAGGGCAGCAAGUUAAUACCUUGCUGUUUUGACGUUACCAACAGAAUAAGCACCGGCUAACUUCGUG